GGUAAAAUGGCUGAGUAGUAGGCGGUAGGCUGUAAACUUAUUAACGAAUAAAAUUCUUUUACC
rnacentral:tRNA from 1 species